rnacentral:rRNA from 1 species
UACGGGGGGGGCAAGCGUUGUUCGGAAUUACUGGGCGUAAAGGGUCUGUAGGUGGCUUGCUAAGUCAGACGUGAAAUCCCUCAGCUUAACUGGGGAACUGCGUCUGAGACUGGCGAGCUUGAGUGCAGGAGAGGAACGCGGAAUUCCAGGUGUAGCGGUGAAAUGCUUAGAUAUCGUCAAGAACACCGAUAGCGAAGGCAGCUUACUAGGCUGUAACUGACGCUGAGGCACGAAAGUGUGGGGAUCAAACAGG